CCUACGGGAGGCUGCAGUGGGGAAUAUUGGACAAUGGGGGGAACCCUGAUCCAGCCAUGCCGCGUGUGUGAAGAAGGCCCUCGGGUUGUAAAGCACUUUCAGUGAGGAAGAACGCCUGGUGGUUAAUACCCAUCAGGAAAGACAUCACUCACAGAAGAAGCACCGGCUAACUCCGUGCCAGCAGCCGCGGUAAUACGGAGGGUGCGAGCGUUAAUCGGAAUUACUGGGCGUAAAGCGCGCGUAGGUGGCUUGAUAAGCCGGUUGUGAAAGCCCCGGGCUCAACCUGGGAACGGCAUCCGGAACUGUCAAGCUGGAGUGCAGGAGAGGAAGGUAGAAUUCCCGGUGUAGCGGUGAAAUGCGUAGAGAUCGGGAGGAAUACCAGUGGCGAAGGCGGCCUUCUGGACUGACACUGACGCUGAGGUGCGAAAGCGUGGGUAGCAAACAGGAUUAGAUACCCUUGUAGUC
rnacentral:rRNA from 1 species